rnacentral:rRNA from 1 species
UUUGGCGGGGGUUUCGACCUCUUCACACUUAGGAUGCUGGUGGAAUGGCUUUAAACGACCCGUCUUGAAACACGGACCAAGGAGUCUAACAUGCUUGCGAGUAUUUGGGUGUCAAACCCGGAUGCGUAAUGAAAGUGAAUGGAGGUGGGAACCGCAAGGUGCACCAUCGACCGAUCUGGAUUUUUAAUGAUGGAUUUGAGUAAGAGCACGUAUGUUGGGACCCGAAAGAUGGUGAACUAUGCCUGAAUAGGGCGAAGCCAGAGGAAACUCUGGUGGAGGCUCGUAGCGGUUCUGACGUGCAAAUCGAUCGUC